rnacentral:rRNA from 1 species
ACGCUGGCGGCGAGGCUUUACACAAGGCAAGUUCGAACGGAGGGACUAAGAGGGAAGCUUGGCGAAUUCCUAGUCCUUAGUGGGCGGACGGGUGAGUAACACGUGGAUAACCUGGCCUGGUAAGACCGGGACAACACCUGGAAACGGGUGCUAAUACCGGGUAAGCUCUUUUUGCCGCAUGGUGAGAAGCGGAGAGUGGAAACCCGCUCACAGAACGGACCCGCGGCCCAUUAGCUAGUUCGGCGGCGUAACGGACCACCAAGGGCGACGAUGGGUAGCCGGCCCGAGAGGGUGAUUCUGCCACACUGGGAAACUGAGAACACGGGUCCAGAACUACCUAACGGGGGGGGCAGGCCAGUGGGGGGAAACCUUUCCCGCCAAUGGGGGCGAAAAGCCCUCGAACGGGAGCAAACCGCCCGCCGUGGAAUCGAUUGAAGGGCCCUUUUCGGGGUUGGUAAAAAUUUCUGGUUCUUCCAGGGGGAAAGAAAAAAAAAUGGACGGGUACCCUUGAAGGAGGGAAAGCCCCCGGGCUAACUACGUUGCCAGCAGCCGCGGUAAUAACGUAAGGGGGGCGGAGCGUUGUCCGGAAAUUUACUGGG